rfam:Acromyrmex echinatior unplaced genomic scaffold scaffold588, whole genome shotgun sequence.
UCACAGGCUUCUUUUGAAGCCAGCUUUAUACCAUUAAGAGAGUUCU